GUCUUAUUGAUAAUAAUUUUAGGUCGGGCCUGCCCAAUGAUUAAUUAAAUUCAAUGGCCGCGGUAUACUGACCGUGCAAAGGUAGCAUAAUCAUUAGUUUUUUAAUUGAAAGCUUGUAUGAAAGGUUUGAUGGAAAAAUAGCUGUCUCUGUUUUAAUUUAUUAGAAUUUUAUUUUUAGGUAAAAAAGCUUAAAUGUUUAUUGAAGACGAGAAGACCCUAUAGAGUUUUAUAUUUGUAGGAUGGAUUAAUUUUAGGAAUUUUUUUGAUUUAUUUAAAUAAGUAUUUAGUUGGGGAGAUUAAAAAAUUGAAGAAACUUUUUUUAUAAAAUUACGUUGAUACACGAGUAUUUGACCCUAGAGAGGAGUAUAAGAAUAAAUUACCUUAGGGAUAACAGCGUAAUUUUUUUGGAGAGUUCUAAUCGAUAAAAAAGAUUGCGACCUCGAUGUUGGAUUAAAAUGAAUAGUUGGUGUAGAUGCUAACUUUAUUGGGUCUGUUCGACCUUUAAAAUUUUACAUGAUCUGAGUUUAGACCGGCGUGAG
rnacentral:rRNA from 1 species